UGAAAACCUUUUUUGUUGUGAUCAAUAAUGUUUAAACUUUUGUGAAUUUUCUCCCGAUAUUACCGCAAAAAAUGAAGUGUUUCUAUUACAAAUGUUCGAACAGCUCUCGGUGUCAGAUGAAAAAUGUAGCGUUCUUCCGUUUUCCUAAAUAAAAAGAUUUAAGAAGUAGGUGGUUAACUUUUUGUAAUCUUCCUAUUGAGACUGUAGUUCCAGAAAAAGCCAGGCUGUGCAGCUUGCAUUUUGAUGAGCAUCAUGUAUAUUUAUCUCCGGCUGGUAAGAUUCUAAAAACGAGCAAGGCCGUUCCUAUAUUUGAAAGUGUUCCGCAACUAUGCUCUGAAGGGCGAAUGAAAAAAACAAACUCUUUGGAAAUGGUAAAGGAGAACAUUGUUCCGGGCGAAUCUGAUACCGUUGUCAAUUGCAAAAAUUGCACAGAUAACACAAGUUCAUUACAAGAGAACCAGUCAUUAAAACGAAAGCUGAAAGAUGUGGGAACUGUUAUGAACCCCGACCAGUUUCAAUUGAUCACAGAGAAUAUUAAAAAAAUCAAACGAUGGUCUGAUCAGAGCAUUACGGAAGGUCUGCGAUGUAAAUUCUCGUGUGGCUCGACGGCAUACGAAACAGAGAGAAAGAAAAGAUUCUUGCCUAGUGAACGUACACUACGAGAACUUCUGCAGAAUAUUCAUUUCGAGA